GGAAAAGAAACCAACAGGGAUUGCCCCAGUAACGGCGAGUGAAGCGGCAAGAGCUCAAAUUUGAAAUCUGGCCCCUCCGGGGUCCGAGUUGUAAUUUGCAGAGGAUGCUUCGGGCGCGGUCCCCGUCUAAGUACCCUGGAACGGGUCGUCAUAGAGGGUGAGAAUCCCGUCUGGGACGGGUGGCCGUGUCCGUGUGAAGCUCCUUCGACGAGUCGAGUUGUUUGGGAAUGCAGCUCUAAAUGGGUGGUAAAUUUCAUCUAAAGCUAAAUAUUGGCCGGAGACCGAUAGCGCACAAGUAGAGUGAUCGAAAGAUGAAAAGCACUUUGAAAAGAGAGUUAAACAGCACGUGAAAUUGUUGAAAGGGAAGCGCUUGCGACCAGACUCGCCCGCGGGGGUUCAGCCGGUACUCGUACCGGUGUACUCCCCCGGGGGCGGGCCAGCGUCGGUUUGGGCGGUCGGUCAAAGGCCUCCGGAAUGUGUCGCCCCCCGGGGCGUCUUAUAGCCGGAGGUGCAAUGCGGCCAGCCUGGACCGAGGAACGCGCUUCGGCUCGGACGCUGGCGUAAUGGUCGAAG
rnacentral:rRNA from 1 species